CAUCUCACUCCUCUGCUUCUUCUUUUCUCUAAAAGGGAAAGACCUUUUAACCAACUGUAUUGAGAUAUACUUUAUUAUCAUAAAAUUAACUCAUUUCAAGUGUGCAAUCAGCAAUUUUCAGUAAUCUCAUUGAGUUGUGCUGCCUUUGCUUUCAUUCCAGUUUUGGACCUUCUCUUGCCCAUAAGGUCCUUUGGGCCUGAUGACCAUUAAUCUUUACCCCACCCCAGCUGAUCUACUUCUGUCUCUAGGAAAUUUCCCUUUCUGGGCCUGUCAUGGAGAAGAAGUCACACAAGAUCAAGUCAGUUUUGAACACAUAAAGGUCCUGGGGCAGGAGUGAGCCGGGCAGACCAGAGUCUGGUAAGCAAGGAGGGGUUGUGCACGGGAGAGCUGGGCAGUGGCCCGCUGAGCUGCUGGGGUUCAGAAUGCGACAGGAGACACUGAGGUGUGCUCUGCUCUGCUUCCUGGUUUUCAGUGAUGCCCUGGCCGCUGUGUGGAGAACAGAUGUCGUGGAGUUCAGGUGGGUUCUGACCAAGGAGGCCAGCGCCUGCUUUAGCUCCCAGCCCCAUGGAAGGGCACCGAAAUCCACGUUGGAGACAAGGACCACUCUCCUGAAGGCGGUUCUGGCCUCAGAAGGAGCGGCCAAGGUCAUCUUCGACACCCAGGACGCCAUUGUCCCCAUGGCUCCCAUUUUCUUCGCUGAGUCACCACCAGAGAAUGUUUUCUGCACAGUGUUUUGCUCCUUCUCCUUCUAAGCAGUUUCUCCUUCCUUCGGCUGUUGUCUUCCCGCCCACUCUGUUGGUUUGCUUGGGACGCCAUGAAAAAUAUCACAUGAAGAGUGACUUAGACAACAGAAGUUGAUUUUCUCAUCAUGCUGGAAGUUGGAAGUCCAAGAUCAAGGUAUUAGCAAGGUUGGUUUCUCCAGAGGCCUCUUUGUGUGGCUGCUUUUCAAUGUGUGCACAUGGCACCUUUC
rnacentral:lncRNA from 1 species